GUCCUGAGAAAUGAUGGCGUCGUGGUUGGCAAAUCACACGUUGUCAGAGAAUGUUUAUUGUUACUGAUACUUUGCUUACCACUCAAGUGGAAAGCUAAGACUCGUUUGAUAAAGAUYAUUUCUUGCAGGAAGAGUAUGGGUUUUGAUUUCUUCCAGUCUCAAGUGCCAAGGUGGGCAGGAUGGGAGAAGAGCGUCAGUCCUUUGGACUGGUUUAGUGCCCCUCCUGCUCCACAAUGAGCCACAGCCAAGGGCUCUGAUGUGCCUUCAACGGUACGUAACACCUCAGUGGACUGUAAUAGCUUGGAAGGCUCUGCCUGGCCCCACACAGCAUCGGGGAGGGGGUGACCUGCUGCAGCCAUACAACCUUUCAGAGAUGGGUGUGACCUGCCAAGGUGCCAAUCAACCUGCUGACUGCAAGACAUCAGGAAGCAAGACGCCACCCCUGGAACCUUAUCCCUGCCUUUGAUGUACCCCCUCAAAUAAACCACGGAACUGGGAACCGUUCUCUAAUUGUCUAACUCCAGGUCCUGAGUGGGCUGAUUCUAUCAGGUUCUCCA